rnacentral:rRNA from 1 species
GAGUUUGAUCAUGGCUCAGGACGAACGCUGGCGGCACGCCUAACACAUGCAAGUCGAACGGAGAUAUUUUGGUUUACUGAGAUAUCUUAGUGGCGGACGGGUGAGUAACACGUGAGCAACCUGCCUCUGAGAGAGGGAUAGCUUCUGGAAACGGAUGGUAAUACCUCAUAACAUGACGAAGCCGCAUGACUUUGUUAUCAAAGAUUUAUCACUCAGAGAUGGGCUCGCGUCUGAUUAGAUAGUUGGUGAGGUAACGGCCCACCAAGUCGACGAUCAGUAGCCGGACUGAGAGGUUGAACGGCCACAUUGGGACUGAGACACGGCCCAGACUCCUACGGGAGGCAGCAGUGGGGAAUAUUGCACAAUGGGGGAAACCCUGAUGCAGCGAUGCCGCGUGGAGGAAGAAGGUUUUCGGAUUGUAAACUCCUGUCUUAAAGGACGAUAAUGACGGUACUUUAGGAGGAAGCUCCGGCUAACUACGUGCCAGCAGCCGCGGUAAUACGUAGGGAGCGAGCGUUGUCCGGAAUUACUGGGUGUAAAGGGAGCGUAGGCGGGAUGGCAAGUCAGAUGUGAAAACUAUGGGCUCAACCCAUAGACUGCAUUUGAAACUGUUGUUCUUGAGUGAAGUAGAGGUAAGCGGAAUUCCUGGUGUAGCGGUGAAAUGCGUAGAUAUCAGAGGAACAUCGGUGGCGAAAGCGGCUUAYUGGGCUUUUACUGACGCUGAGGCUCGAAGCGUGGGGAGCAAAMAGAUUAGAUACCCUGGUAGUCCACGCUKUAAACGAUGAUUWACUAAGUGUGGGGGGACUGACCCCUUCCGUGCCGCAKUAACACGAUAAGUAAUCCACCUGGGGAGUACGGCCGCAGGUGAACUCAAGGAAUUGACGGGGYCCGCMCMAGCAUGAAUWUGKGUUUAWUUCAAKCAYYGCGAAAA